rnacentral:rRNA from 1 species
AGCGAACGCUGGCGGCAGGCCUAACACAUGCAAGUCGAACGAAGUCUUCGGACUUAGUGGCGGACGGGUGAGUAACACGUGGGAACGUGCCUUUAGGUUCGGAGUAACUCAGGGAAACUUGUGCUAAUACCGAAUGUGCCCUUCGGGGGAAAGAUUUAUCGCCUUUAGAGCGGCCCGCGUCUGAUUAGCUAGUUGGUGAGGUAAAGGCUCACCAAGGCUACGAUCAGUAGCUGGUCUGAGAGGAUGACCAGCCACAUUGGGACUGAGACACGGCCCAAACUCCUACGGGAGGCAGCAGUGGGGAAUCUUGCGCAAUGGGCGAAAGCCUGACGCAGCCAUGCCACGUGGAUGAUGAAGGUCUUAGGAUUGUAAAAUCCUUUCACCGGUGAAGAUAAUGACUGUAGCCGGAGAAGAAGCCCCGGCUAACUUCGUGCCAGCCGCCGCCGUAAGAC